rnacentral:tRNA from 1 species
CCUUGGUUAGUUCACUUGGUAGAACGCUUCAGUGGAAAUAGAGAGGUCCCGGGUUCGAUACCUGGACAAGGCG